ensembl:lncRNA
UGAUUUCAUAGGUGUGAACUGUAUGUAACGUAGCAGUUAGCUGCCUUUAUCUAGAACAAUGUUCCGUCAGCAACUUGCAUUCCAACACGUGCUGUAUUUGUUGAAAAAGUUACAUCUCAAAAUACCAACUCAAGGAGCCUACUCUAUGUAAAAUGAAGUGUAAAUUUAUGUGUUUGGCUGAGCUUAUUGUGAAGCAGGGCUGCUCUUCAGAUGAAUGCGUAGACACGGGUCAACAGUGUCUUACUAAAAGGUUAAACUCCAACAACCAGCGUUGAUGGAGGCCUUAUUUUCUGUGACUUUUUGGGCUUUCAAAGGCCUGUGGACAGGAAUUCUAUUCACCACGUGCAGGACAAAAUUAACUUUCAGUACAAAGGGAAUACAUGUAAAAUAUUGAAUAUCUGGAGUCACGAUUUUUCUGCUCCUAAUUACGGAGAGACGCCAUAUGAAACGGAGCGAUGGGUAUGUAAGAGAUGCUGAGGAGGAUAUUGUAAAGACAACAAAGUUGACCUCUUUGUGCCAAUUAUCAUCUCGCAGCUGAACUUUGAGACAAACAUUUGACAUUGAUUCCCCAUAAAUAUGGAACUCAAAACAUGGGACCUCUUGUGUCUGUGGAGAACCAGACAAAGAAGCGAUGGAGGCCUCACGGAGAGUCUUAUUAACGAAAUUAGAAAAGGUGUGUGGUCAACUGACGUAAUGGAUGUUAUGUAUGCUACCACAGAUUUCCCUUUAUGAAUAUCAAAGGCUAAAACAUUCAUCAAUUCAGUACUUUUCAAAAUAUAAACCCAAAGUUCGUGACAGUGUCUCAUUCAUACAACGUGAUCAACAAAUGCAGAAUACACAACCCACUAACUGCGAGGAGAGGAUUUGUUAAGAACCAAAAUUAGAUCCUUCGCAUAUUGAAGAGAUCAAUGGAAUAGUCUGAACGGGGGGGUUCUCAUAUGACGAUGGCAAACAGAAGGUGAUCCGUCUUGAUCUGCAAAUGAAGAAAGUAUGUAAAAAAUAUUUUGUAUCCACAAUAUGUACAGUUGUGUACUGUCAGCUAUAUUUGGCCAAUCUGAGAAUAUAAAAAAGAGCAGUACAGUUAGAGACUAGUUUGUAUGUUUCUUUCUUUUUUGUAAAAGCAGUGUCUACUAUGCAAACUUGACAUUGGUUAUCUUGAUAGCAGUUUAUAAGUCUAUAAAUAGAGCUGUGCUUGUAAGUGCAUUUUUAUUUUACUAUCAGGGGUGAUUUGAUUUCGUUAGUGUCGGGUGGUGAAGGUCCAUUUUUGCUAAUUCUGGCACGCUUCAUGAAUCUUGCUCAAUCUUGCUGAAUGCUCGCCUCUCUAUCUCCUCUAACUGUUUUCUGUACAAAGUGUAAGAAAGAAUUUUUAAGACAAUUAAUAAAUUAUAUUUAUAAGCAAU